rnacentral:lncRNA from 1 species
CGAUAGCCCCGCAGUUGAAAAUGCACGAAAGUCAGUGCUCGACUGUGUCGGAGAACGUUCCACUGUUGGAAUGACUAGUGCAGUCGUAGACUGUUCUGGUUUAGCCACGACCUCUGCCCCGAUCCGAACGUCUGCGAUGGAGCUACUGCAGCUCCGUCCUCUCCAACCGUCCUAUCUUCGGUGGACGAUGCUUCAGGAAGUGUUGUCGGGGCCGACAAUGUCAAAACAGGUUCGAGAAUUGAUUUCGACAGAAUGUCGGAUUUCCUUGUCAGUGCAGAUGGAUUGGCGACCUGACUCUUCUUUGGCGAUCGAGAAGAGCCAGC